CUUUCUAUUCUUAUUAUAAAUCAUCUUCUUCUAACCGUCUUUUUCUCUCUCCAUUUUUAUUAUGCAUCCUCCUCUCCCAAUCUUAAGUUUUCUUAAUAUUGACCAUAAGCAUAGCAGGAGAAGACAUACUUGAUGAAGUUGAACAGUUUAGCAAGCAAGUUUUGAAGGAAAGGUUACAGAACACAAUUAGAGUGUAAGACUCUAUUUUUGAUAAACACAUUAAUUAAGAUUAAACAAUUACCUCAACCGAAUAUAUUCAACUAACCGAAUAUAUUCAACUGUAAAUAUAUUCGAUUAAGAAUGAACAAUUUACUACAUUAGAUAUUUAUUACAUAAAAACUAUAU